rnacentral:lncRNA from 10 species
AUUUAAGAGUAACCUUGAGAUUGGGAGGAAAGAGGAGGCUGGUACAAAUAGAUGGAGACCUGCUGGGAUCAGUGAAUGCCUGAUUAGGACAUGGGGCUAUGCAUAGCCUAAGAGUUAUAGGCUUAAAGAUGUCGAGUAACUAAAAACUGUAUUGCUGGCCGGGCGCGGUGGCUCACGCCUGUAAUCCCAGCACUUUGGGAGGCCAAGGCGGGCAGACCAUGAGGUCAGGAGAUUGAGACCAUCCUGGCCAACAUGGUGAAACCCUGUCUCUACUAAAAAUACAAAAAUGAGCUGGGUGUGGUGGCACGUGCCUGUAGUCCCAGCUACUCGAGAGGCUAAGGCAGGAAAAUCGCUUGAACCCAGGAGGCAGAGACUGCAGUGAGCCAAGAUUGCGCCAGUGCACUCCAGCUGGGCGACAGAGCGAGACUCCAUCUCAAAAAACAAACAAACAAACAAACAAACAAACAAA